rnacentral:rRNA from 1 species
UACGGGGGGGGCAAGCGUUGUUCGGAAUUACUGGGCGUAAAGGGCGCGUAGGCGGCCCGCUAAGUCGAACGUGAAAUCCCCGGGCUCAACCCGGGAACUGCGUCCGAUACUGGUGGGCUUGAAUCCGGGAGAGGGAUGCGGAAUUCCAGGUGUAGCGGUGAAAUGCGUAGAUAUCUGGAGGAACACCGGUGGCGAAGGCGGCAUCCUGGACCGGUAUUGACGCUGAGGCGCGAAAGCCAGGGGAGCAAACGGG